rnacentral:rRNA from 1 species
UACGUAGGUGGCAAGCGUUGUCCGGAUUUACUGGGCGUAAAGAGCGCGCAGGCGGUCGUUCAAGUCGCGUGUGAAAGCCCCCGGCUCAACUGGGGAGGGUCACGCGAUACUGAUCGACUCGAAGGCAGGAGAGGGAAGUGGAAUUCCCGGUGUAGUGGUGAAAUGCGUAGAUAUCAGAAGGAACGCCGGUGGCGAAAGCGACGGACUGGAUCUUUUCUGACGCUGAGGCGCGAAAGCUAGGGGAGCAAACGGG